rnacentral:rRNA from 1 species
UACGUAGGUGGCGAGCGUUGUCCGGAUUUACUGGGCGUAAAGAGCGCGCAGGCGGUCGUACAAGUCGCGUGUGAAAGCCCCCGGCUCAACUGGGGAGGGUCACGCGAUACUGUUCGACUCGAAGGCAGGAGAGGGAAGCGGAAUUCCCGGUGUAGUGGUGAAAUGCGUAGAUAUCCGAAGGAACACCGGUGGCGAAAGCGGCGCGCUGGACCUCUACUGACGCUGAGGCGCGAAAGCCAGGGGAGCAAACGGG